rnacentral:rRNA from 1 species
UUAGUGGCAGACGGGUGAGUAACAUGUAGGUAUCUGCCCUUUGGCCUGGAAUAACACGAGGAAACUUGUGCUAAUACCGGAUAAGUCUUUACGGAGAAAGCUUUAUGCACCAUUGGAUGAGCCUGCACUUGAUUAGUUUGUUGGUGGGGUAAUGGCCUACCAAGACUGUGAUCAAUAGCUGAUUUGAGAGGAUGAUCAGCCACAUUGGGACUGAGACACGGCCCAAACUCCUACGGGAGGCAGCAGUGGGGAAUCUUGCACAAUGGAGGAAACUCUGAUGCAGCGAUGCCGCGUGAGUGAAGAAGGCCCUUGGGUUGUAAAGCUCUUUCGUCGGGGAAGAAAAUGACUGUACCCGAAUAAGAAGGUCCGGCUAACUUCGUGCCAGCAGCCGCGGUAAUACGAAGGGACCUAGCGUAGUUCGGAAUUACUGGGCUUAAAGAGUUCGUAGGUGGUUGAAAAAGUUGGUGGUGAAAUCCCAGAGCUUAACUCUGGAACUGCCAUCAAAACUUUUCAGCUAGAGUAUGAUAGAGGAAAGCAGAAUUUCUAGUGUAGAGGUGAAAUUCGUAGAUAUUAGAAAGAAUACCAAUUGCGAAGGCAGCUUUCUGGAUCAUUACUGACACUGAGGAACGAAAGCAUGGGUAGCGAAGAGGAUUAGAUACCCUCGUAGUCCAUGCCGUAAACGAUGUGUGUUAGACGUUGGAAAUUUAUUUUCAGUGUCGCAGCGAAAGCGAUAAACACACCGCCUGGGGAGUACGACCGCAAGGUUAAAACUCAAAUGAAUUGACGGGGACC